UACGGAGGGUGCAAGCGUUGCUCGGAAUUAUUGGGCGUAAAGGGUAGGUAGGUGGUCUCAUUUGUCUGGGGUGAAAGCCUUGAGCUUAACUCAAGAAGUGCCCCAGAAACGGUGAGACUGGAGUCCUGGAGAGGGUCGUGGAAUUCCCGGUGUAGCGGUGAAAUGCGUAGAGAUCGGGAGGAACACCAGCGGCGAAGGCGGCGACCUGGACAAGUACUGACACUCAACUGCGAAAGCGUGGGGAGCAAACAGG
rnacentral:rRNA from 1 species